GGCUUGGUGGUGGAUGGUCCACGUCGGUAAAAAGUGUGGGUAAAAAGUGUCAUUAACUCAACCAACCGUAGCGUGUUCGAAUCACGCCCGAGCCA